rnacentral:lncRNA from 1 species
GACAUCGACUGCUUUGCACUGUGAUAAUGAUCACCAUGAGCCACUAUAAAAAUAACUUUUUUUGUGUUUGUCUGUGUGUAUAAAAUAUUUUCCACAGCACAGAGGUGACUCUGGGCUGCAACAGCCUGUUAAAUUCAAGCCCAAAUGAAGUGACUCGGACAGUGGUCGCUACCGUCUGGCAUCCUGAAUUCAAUUCAUCGACUCGUGAGAACGACAUUUGUGUUUUGAAGCUGUCGGCUCCUGUAAAUUUCACAGACUACAUUCAGCCGAUCUGCUUAGCCUCAGAAAACAGCACUUACAACAAUGAGACCAGCAGCUGGAUCAUCGGUUUCAAUUUUGAUGGUGAUGGCCUCCAGGAAGCAAAUGUAGGAAUAGUAGAAAACAAUGAGUGCAAACUCAGCCAUCCAGGGAUCAAAGAGAACAUGAUCUGUGCUGGAGAGACGGAUUUAUGUUUGAGGACCACAGGGGGACCACUCAUGACCGAAAGCGAUUCAGUCUGGGUCCAAGGUGGAGUUUACAGUGUAUUGGACUGCACUGGAGCUCCUAAAAUCUACACUCGUGUGUCCCAGUACCAGAAAUGGAUCAGCGACACAGUUACAGGGAGACCACCAGUCUUUGUUACCUUCACCUCCCCAGACAGUUCAUCACAAACCACUGCCCCUCCCACUGCUCAUCCCACUGCACCAACCACUGCUCCGAUAUGUGACAGUUUGUUUUGCAGUGGUGAAAACUUGAUCCACUUCACCUCACUUUGUGUUCUUGUUGUGUUGCUCCAUGUGUUUGCUGGAACUGGUGGAAAGUAG